ensembl:lncRNA
CUCAGGUGAUGAAAAUGUUCCAAGACUAGAUUAAGAUGAUGGUUGUGCAACGUGGUAAAUUUGCAAAGGCAUUACACACUUACAAUCUAGGUAACUUUUGUGGUCUGAAAGUUACACUUCAAUAAAGUCAAAUUCUGUUAGUGAAAUAAAGAGAAAACAGAGCAAUAAAAUCUAGAUAAGCAUCAUCCAAGAAUAGCCACCUGGAGUAUUUCAAUGUCAAAUAGGAAAAGCAGGUGACAGAGCAAUUGAGAUAAAAGCUUGGCUCUCGGGCUUGGGCAUGGAGGACAGGUUAUUUUAAGCAGCAGUCCUUAUGUCAAUGAGUUCACAUCUCAGGACAGAGCUGUCCCUCUCCCCCUCUACUGAGUUUGCUCUGGCUGGCUGACCCAUCCUGGGAAUGUGCCCCAUGUCCACUGACUUCUCUGCGAUGAAGCCAAGGCCCCCUGCAGACACAGUCAGUCCUCCAGCACAGAAGCCAGCAGGGAGAGGUGGGGACAAGCAAGCUCCAUUUAAGGCUGGCCUUGAAGAUGUCAAUUUUUCCUUCUCUUACCAUCAUCACCAAGUUCUACCAUCUCCACCUUCCAAAGAUAUGCCUCAAAUGUAUCCACUUUUCUCAUCAUACUUCAUAAUUUGCUUCCCGACAGCAAGUCUUUCUCCCCUCAAAUUUUAUCUGCUUGCUGACUCCCAAGCGUGGAGAAAUUUUUUAAAAGGCCAGCUCACCUCCCUCUGAGCCCUCAGCAGCUUCCUACUCCUUUACACAGAGAUUGUCUCUGCACCAAAGCCUGGACUGACUCCUCCAGAAUGAUGGGCAUAAAGUGAUCCCCUGGGUUGCUGAAUGGAUAAAUCUGCCAGCUGCAAACCAGAACCACCUGGAGAGCUUCUUAAAACUCUAAAUCCACAGAGUGCCACCCACAGAGACUUUGAAUCAGCAGAAGGAAUCCAGGAUCUGUACUUUAACAUGCUUCCCAAGUGAUUCUCAUGUGCACAUCUGAGGAGUCUCUGAUUCAAAACACCAGAAUAUUCAUCCCUAUGAGACUUUUCCUUCUAUUUUCCAACUUUCUGUAAGACUGUUGUAAUUCAGCUGUGAUCUGUGUCUAUAAAUUUAUUUAAAAUUACAUUAUACUAAAGAUUUUAUUAAAAAUCACAUAAUCUUGGUAUAUUCUAACUUCUGCCGAAUUUGCAUAUACCAUAAGGAAGCUAUUAUUUUCUUACAUCAAGAAGGAAAAUGGGCUUUGGUUAUAGCUCAGUGGUAAAGUGCUCCCUAGCACACACACAAGACCCUGAAUUAUGAAUAUACAAUGAAUAUAUAAUAAAUUAUGAAUAUAUAAUGAAUACAUAUGUAUUUUUUAAAUUCCUUUAUUUCUUACAACACAUUCAAUUUAAUUCGCUUAUGGUAUGUAUAUAAUCCUUUUUGGUACCAUGAAGAAAUGAAGUUCUACUGUCCUAUUUUAAAGAUCCCUGCCCCUACCAGGGUCCAGCUUAGGUAUUCAUAGAGCAGAGCAAUUUGCGUGGAUGUGGUGUGAACAAUACACAUCACAUCGACUCCCAAGGUUUGAAAGGCAAAUACAGCCAG